CCUACGGGAGGCAGCAGUGGGGGAUAUUGCACAAUGGGGGAAACCCUGAUGCAGCGACGCCGCGUGUGGGAAGACGGUCUUCUGGAUUGUAAACCACUGUCCCCAGGGACGAAAAUGACGGUACCUGGGGAGGAAGCUCCGGCUAACUACGUACCAGCAGCCGCGGUAAUACGUAGGGAGCAAGCGUUGUCCGGAAUUACUGGGUGUAAAGGGUGCGUAGGCGGGGAUGCAAGUUGGGGGUCAAAACUACCGGCUAAACCGAUAGUCGCACUCAAAACUGCAACUCUUGAGUGAAGUAGAGGCAGGCGGAAUUCCUAGUGUAGCGGUGAAAUGCGUAGAUAUUAGGAGGAACACCAGUGGCGAAGGCGGCCUGCUGGGCUUUUACUGACGCUGAGGCUCGAAAGUGUGGGGAGCAAACAGGAUUAGAUACCCUAGUAGUC
rnacentral:rRNA from 1 species